CUUGGUCAUUUAGAGGAAGUAAAAGUCGUAACAAGGUUUCCGUAGGUGAACCUGCGGAAGGAUCAUUAAAGUGUUUAUGUCGGUCUUCGGGCCGGCUGGGAUUCGGCCUUCGGGUCGUCUCCUAACAUAAUCCUAACACCUGUGAACUGUCUGUCAAGUCCCCUCAAAAGGAUUUGUACACUUUACCAAACAUACUCUGUAAAAAAUGUCAAUUUAUUAUAAAUAAAAUAAAACUUUUAACAACGGAUCUCUUGGCUCUCACAUCGAUGAAGAACGCAGCGAAAUGCGAUAAGUAAUGUGAAUUGCAGAAUUCAGUGAAUCAUCGAAUCUUUGAACGCAAAUUGCGCUCCUUGGUAUUCCGAGGAGCAUGCCUGUUUGAGUGUCAUGUAAUCAACCACCCUGACUUUUGGUUUAUUCCUUGGGUCUUGGCUGGGACGUGGGUGUUUGCCUCUGAUGAAGUGGCUCACCUUAAAUACAUGUUGGCCUGACUUUUGUCUAGGACCGGUUUGACUUGGCGUUAUAAGUUAUUUCGCUAAGGACAUCUUCACGGAUGGCCGAUCCAAAGACUCUGUCUUGCCUCAAUGGCGCAAGCCUCUUGAAGCGCAAACAAUUCUGACCAAUUGGCCUCAAAUCAGGUAGGACUACCCGCUGAACUUAAGCAUAUCAAUAAGCGGAGGAAAAGAAACUAACAAGGAUUCCCCUAGUAACGGCGAGUGAAGCGGGAAGAGCUCAAAUUUGAAAUCUGGUAGCCUUUGGUUGCCCGAGUUGUAAUCUAGAGAAAUGUUUUCCGUGCUGGCUCAUGUACAGGUCCCUUGGAAUAGGGCAUCAUAGAGGGUGAGAAUCCCGUACUUGACAUGAACUCCCAGUGCUCUGUGAUACAUUUUCAACGAGUCGAGUUGUUUGGGAAUGCAGCUCAAAAUGGGUGGUAAAUUCCAUCUAAAGCUAAAUAUUGGUGAGAGACCGAUAGCGAACAAGUACCGUGAGGGAAAGAUGAAAAGCACUUUGGAAAGAGAGUUAAACAGUAUGUGAAAUUGUUAAAAGGGGAACGCUUGAAGU
rnacentral:rRNA from 1 species